rnacentral:lncRNA from 1 species
GACUUCACCUCUUUAGAGCACUGAUUCCUUCCUUCCAGAAUGCUCUAAGGUUAGCAGCUGCCAAGGUGACCCUGGACUUCACCUAUUAAAGAUGCACUCUGGGAUCUUAAGCACAACAUUCCUAACAUAUUGCACAAAUUGCAUGACGUAGAUUAUUAGGAUCCUCAUUAGCUCUUCCCCAAACAAUUGAAUUGAAUCAAGUCAAACAGUACAUGUACAUUAACUUAGUACAUAUCUUUAAAUACAACGUUUAUAAUACCACCAUUCUGUCUGUGUAAGU